UGGGGAAUAUUGGACAAUGGGGGCAACCCUGAUCCAGCAAUUCUGUGUGCACGAAGAAGGUUUUCGGAUUGUAAAGUGCUUUCAGCAGGGAAGAAGAAAGUGACGGUACCUGCAGAAGAAGCGACGGCUAAAUACGUGCCAGCAGCCGCGGUAAUACGUAUGUCGCGAGCGUUAUCCGGAAUUAUUGGGCAUAAAGGGCAUCUAGGCGGCCCUGUAAGUCUAGGGUGAAAACCUGCGGCUCAACCGCAGGCCUGCCCCGGAAACUACAGGGCUAGAGUGCUGGAGAGGUGGACGGAACUGCACGAGUAGAGGUGAAAUUCGUAGAUAUGUGCAGGAAUGCCGAUGAUGAAGAUAGUUCACUGGACGGCAACUGACGCUGAAGUGCGAAAGCUAGGGGAGCAAACAGGAUUAGAUACCCUGGUA
rnacentral:rRNA from 1 species